GACGAACGCUGGCGGCGUGCCUAAUACAUGCAAGUCGAGCGAGCGGAACCAACAGAUUUACUUCGGUAAUGACGUUGGGAAAGCGAGCGGCGGAUGGGUGAGUAACACGUGGGGAACCUGCCCCUAAGUCUGGGAUACCAUUUGGAAACAGGUGCUAAUACCGGAUAAUAAAGACAGACCGCAUGAUCAGCUUUGUAAAGGCGGCGUAAGCUGUCGCUAAGGGAUGGCCCGCGGUGCAUUAGCUAGUUGGUAAGGUAACGGCUUACCAAGGCGACGAUGCAUAGCCGAGUUGCGAGACUGAUCGGCCACAUUGGGACUGAGACACGGCCCAG
rnacentral:rRNA from 1 species